UACGUAGGGCGCAAGCGUUGUCCGGAAUUAUUGGGCGUAAAGAGCUCGUAGGCGGUUUGUCGCGUCUGCUGUGAAAACCUAAGGCUCAACCUUGGGCUUGCAGUGGGUACGGGGCAGACUAGAGUGCGGUAGGGGGAGAUUGGAAUUCCUGGUGUAGCGGUGGAAUGCGCAGAUAUCAGGAGGAACACCAAUGGCGAAGGCAGAUCUCUGGGCCGUAACUGACGCUGAGGAGCGAAAGCAUGGGGAGCGAACAGG
rnacentral:rRNA from 1 species